rnacentral:misc_RNA from 1 species
UACGUAGGUGGCAAGCGUUGUCCGGAAUUAUUGGGCGUAAAGCGCGCGCAGGCGGCUUGGAAAGUUGGGAGUGAAAGCCCGGGGCUCAACCCCGGAACUGCCCUUGAUACUGGUAGUCUGGAGUUCUGGAGAGGUGAGUGGAAUUCCGAGUGUAGAGGUGAAAUUCGUAGAUAUUCGGAGGAACACCAGUGGCGAAGGCGGCUCACUGGCCAGAUACUGACGCUGAGGAGCGAAAGUGUGGGGAGCAAACAGG